AACCUCUCCUGUGGCCUAGUGGUUAGAACAUCUGCCUUAAAUACAGGAGGUCAUGGGUUCAAUCCCCAGUUGAGUCA